rnacentral:rRNA from 1 species
UUUAAUUCGAUGAUACGCGAGGAACCUUACCUGGGCUAGAAUGCUGGUGGACCGAUAGUGAAAGCUAUCUUUGUAGCAAUACACCGCCAGUAAGGUGCUGCAUGGCUGUCGUCAGCUCGUGCCGUGAGGUGUUGGGUUAAGUCCCGCAACGAGCGCAACCCCCAUCACUAGUUGCCAUCAGGUAACGCUGGGAACUCUAGUGAGACUGCCGUCGUAAGACGCGAGGAAGGAGGGGAUGAUGUCAAGUCAUCAUGGCCUUUAUGCCCAGGGCUACACACGUGCUACAAUGGGGCGUACAAAGGGCUGCCACUUAGCGAUAAGGAGCCAAUCCCAAAAAACGCCUCUCAGUUCAGAUUGGAGUCUGCAACUCGACUCCAUGAAGCUGGAAUCGCUAGUAAUCGUAUAUCAGCAAUGAUA